CCACUGACCUAUGGUGAUCACUGACCCAAGGCUUGAGCAAGCCUCACUGUGGUACAACUCGAGCCUUUGAACCGUAGCUCAAGUAUGAAAUCCAUGUCUUAUUUUUUCAGAUUCUCUGUUAUGUCAAUUGGCUUGUUUUAUUUCCCAUGUGUGGGUCUGGAAACUAUUGCAAUGCAGAUAGGAGAAUAUUCUACCUAAUCACCUAUUUCAUCUACAUCACCUACCAGAGUUCCACAUAUUAACAGAAAUUACAGAAUUGAGAAUACCACGGUGCCAAUCACUUACCUGAGAAUGUGUCAAGUAUUUCAUUGCUUUUAGCUGGCUGGUUAAGAUGAGGUAUAGGAAAACCCAGCUGGUUUUUCUUCAAUUUCACCAUCGUUACUUGAGCAAUAGGUGGCAAAAUUUUGAGUUUGGGAUAAUAAAAUGAGUUUGCUGGGUGGCUUGGAGAGGAACAAGUGAUCUCUGUAACUGUGUCUUGUGGAAUAGUGGCAAAGUUUGGGGAGGAAAAUGUGAAGCCACUGUCGGUUCCAGCAUCAUAUGGAUAUAGAUCUACUGAUAUUUCUUCCAUCCAGUGGUCCCCUUCACAGAGGUUUAGGCUGUCAAUACCCACAAACCAGUCGGGACUUGGCACAAUUCGUACAACAAAUGAAACUAAUGGAUGUCUUGAAUGCACUUGUAAUUCAGUGGAGGUUUGUCCUGUGCCACUGGAAAUGGCAGGAGCAGAGAAGAUUCCAUGCACACUCUGAAUUUUCUCUCCAGCUUCUUCUAUUUCUUUCAUUAAUACCCAUGCCUCACCCUUUUCAGCAAAAUCACGUACACCAUUGCUGGCAUAUUCAUUUUUUUUCCACAUGCUGUAGUCAGAACUAUGAGUAACACCUAUUUAAGUGAAUACAUUGCAUGACAGAAAAGUCUGGUUUAG
rnacentral:lncRNA from 1 species